rnacentral:rRNA from 1 species
UAAUGGAAUACGACUUCGGUCUUGUUUCGUUGGUUUCGCUUGGCUGAAGUAAUGAUUGAUAGGGACAGUUGGGGGCAUUAGUAUUUAGUUGUCAGAGGUGAAAUUCUAGGAUUUACUAAAGACUGACCAAUGCGAAAGCAUUUGCCAAGGAUGUUUUCAUUAAUCAAGAACGAAAGUAGGGGGAUCGAAGACGAUCAGAUACCGUCGUAGUCUCUACCGUAAACUAUGCCGACCAGGGAUCCGGAGAGUUUGCAUGGAUGACUCCCCGGGCACCUUGUGAGAAAUCAUAAGUGUUUGGGUUUUGGGGGGAGUAUGGUCGCAAGGCUGAAACUAAAGGAAUSACGUAGAMCCCUCAWUAAUUU